UUCCUUCUCUGUUUUCAGAAACAGUGAACGGCCUCUUUGCAGAUAAUCUGGUGAAAUUCCACUUCAGAUUUUAAAUUGUUUUCAAAACUUACCUCCUUUUUGACCUAAAAUCUUUUGUCUUCGUCAGUUUCAGUAACAGUUUCUUGUUUACGUCAUGGAUGACUUUGUUUGCAAGAUAUUAAAUGACUGGGGCCUAAGCGAGUGGAUAGAAACAUUUAGAGAACACGGCAUUGACAAGAAAAAUCUGUACUGCCUCGAGGAUCAAGACAUUGAAAAAUUGUUUUCCAAAGUGGGACCAAGAGCACAUUUCAGAAAGAAACUGAAACUG